rnacentral:rRNA from 1 species
UACGGAGGGUGCAAGCGUUACUCGGAAUCACUGGGCGUAAAGAGCGCGUAGGCGGCGAUGCAAGUCAGAAGUGAAAGCCCGGGGCUCAACUCCGGGACUGCUUUUGAAACUGUGUUGCUAGAUUGCAGGAGAGGUAAGCGGAAUUCCUAGUGUAGCGGUGAAAUGCGUAGAUAUUAGGAGGAACACCAGUGGCGAAGGCGGCUUACUGGACUGUAACUGACGUUGAGGCUCGAGAGCGUGGGGAGCAAACAGG